GACGAACGCUGGCGGCGUGCUUAACACAUGCAAGUCGAACGGAAAGGCCCUGCUUUUGUGGGGUGCUCGAGUGGCGAACGGGUGAGUAACACGUGAGUAACCUGCCCUUGACUUUGGGAUAACUUCAGGAAACUGGGGCUAAUACCGGAUAGGAGCUCCUGCUGCAUGGUGGGGGUUGGAAAGUUUCGGCGGUUGGGGAUGGACUCGCGGCUUAUCAGCUUGUUGGUGGGGUAGUGGCUUACCAAGGCUUUGACGGGUAGCCGGCCUGAGAGGGUGACCGGCCACAUUGGGACUGAGAUACGGCCCAGACUCCUACGGGAGGCAGCAGUGGGGAAUAUUGCACAAUGGGCGGAAGCCUGAUGCAGCAACGCCGCGUGCGGGAUGACGGCCUUCGGGUUGUAAACCGCUUUCGCCUGUGACGAAGCGUGAGUGACGGUAAUGGGUAAAGAAGCACCGGCUAACUACGUGCCAGCAGCCGCGGUGAUACGUAGGGUGCGAGCGUUGUCCGGAUUUUAUUGGGCGUAAAGGGCUCGUAGGUGGUUGAUCGCGUCGGAAGUGUAAUCUUGGGGCUUAACCCUGAGCGUGCUUUCGAUACGGGUUGACUUGAGGAAGGUAGGGGAGAAUGGAAUUCCUGGUGGAGCGGUGGAAUGCGCAGAUAUCAGGAGGAACACCAGUGGCGAAGGCGGUUCUCUGGGCCUUUCCUGACGCUGAGGAGCGAAAGCGUGGGGAGCGAACAGGCUUAGAUACCCUGGUAGUCCACGCUGUAAACGGUGGGUACUAGGUGUGGGGUCCAUUCCACGGGUUCCGUGCCGUAGCUAACGCUUUAAGUACCCCGCCUGGGGAGUACGGCCGCAAGGCUAAAACUCAAAGGAAUUGACGGGGCCCCGCACAAGCGGCGGAGCAUGCGGAUUAAUUCGAUGCAACGCGUAGAACCUUACCUGGGUUUGACAUGGAUCGGGAGUGCUCAGAGAUGGGUGUGCCUCUUUUGGGGUCGGUUCACAGGUGGUGCAUGGCUGUCGUCAGCUCGUGUCGUGAGAUGUUGGGUUAAGUCCCGCAACGAGCGCAACCCUUGUUCACUGUUGCCAGCACGUUAUGGUGGGGACUCAGUGGAGACCGCCGGGGUCAACUCGGAGGAAGGUGGGGAUGACGUCAAGUCAUCAUGCCCCUUAUGUCCAGGGCUUCACGCAUGCUACAAUGGCUGGUACAGAGAGUGGCGAGCCUGUGAGGGUGAGCGAAUCUCGGAAAGCCGGUCUCAGUUCGGAUUGGGGUCUGCAACUCGACCUCAUGAAGUCGGAGUCGCUAGUAAUCGCAGAUCAGCAACGCUGCGGUGAAUACGUUCCCGGGGCU
rnacentral:rRNA from 1 species